rnacentral:lncRNA from 1 species
AAAUCUAUCAUACCUAAACACACGAGAUAUAUAGAUAUGGAGACUGUAGUGGUGAUUGUGGGAGCUGGACCAGCUGGUUUAGCAACAUCUGUUUGUCUAAACCAACACUUAAUCCCAAACGUGAUCCUCGAGAAGGAAGACAUAUAUGCAUCACUUGGGAAGAAAUGAGCUUAUGAUCAUCUUAAACUUCACUUAGCUUAAAACAUUUGUGAGCUUCCUUUCAUGAUGCAAGGUCCCAAUGUUCCAAUCUUCAUGCCCAAAGAACUUUUCAUCAACUAGAUUUACACCUACAAAGUGACAUACGUGUCUAGCAUUUUACGGGCUCAAGAUAAACAUAUUAAUAUUUUACUACAAACUUUUUAUGAAAAUCUAAUUAAUAUACCAAUAAAAAUACAUAAAACGAUUUUAUAUGCACUAGUUUUAGCGAAGAGAUAAAAUUAUAUUAGUAAGAAAAUUAUCAUAAAAUUAUAUAGGUGACUGCGAACAUCUUCACCAUUUAUAUAUGUUAACUGAAAUAUAUACAGUUUACAUGUCAAGUUAUAAGUGAUAAGGUAAUAUAAAAAUGUAAAAACAAAAUAUUAACCAAUAAACUAUUUGCUAGAAUAUGGACAAAAGAAAAGAAAAUAUUAGUAAAAAUUCAUCAAAUGUCCAGCCAUACAUCCAUUUUCAUUUCUCUUCUCGUGCGACCUAACUCUCACACUUGUUUGUUUCUUUUAUUUAACAUUAAAGCAACUAAACUUUUUCGAUGGUUUCAAUUUUCAAACGGAUAAGUUGUAGAAGAAGAAUCUGUUUCGACUUUCGUAUAUCCGAACAUUAGGUAACGUUUUUCAUCACUACCAAUUUGAACUUGCGUGGGCAUACGAAAAAAACAAGUUUUUGGAUACAUGCAAAGUAAAUAGAUUCCAUUAGUGCAUGGACACGUUCAUUUAACGUAUAUAGUAAAUCAAUAUGUGUCAUUUCUUUCUUAAACAAUAUGUGUAAUGACUUCAUAAAUGAUGCAGUUCAUUUUGAAUAUAUAUUUUAUAACUUUCCCAAAAUAUUAACAGAACAGCGAUAGGACUAAAUAACACGUAUCACUCUAUGACUGAUCAUUUCAAUAUAAUGUCUGCUCUUUUUUUUUGAAACUUAUAAUGGAUCUUGUUUUUAAAAUAACUUAUAUAGAUAGAAGAAAUAAUCUUAAAGAAUUUUAAAUAUAAUUUUGGAAAAUAACCAAAAACAAAAAAUAUCAGUCUAUUUCUAUUGAAAAUUAAAAAAUGCCGCAAAUUAAAAAGCCUGUAUGUAAUUUCAUUUUAAAGAUGACCGGAGUUGAUUUACCAUAAAUAUGACACUAAUAUUGUCUUUUACUUCGAAUUUAGAUAGUCAAGUUAAUUUGUAACUAUUUUAAACACAUGCCUUUAUUUUUAAGUAGUUCACUGUAAAUAUAAAAUAAUGGGUGUCAAAAAAAUUUUAAAAACAUUUGGUCAAUUUUGUUAAAAAAAUUAUAUUUUGGAACUUUAGUAGUCAUCCACUUACAUACUAGAUUUGUAUUUCAAAAUUAAAUAAAGAAUCUCAAAAUAAUAAAUGUUUCAGAUUCUGUAUUGGCUAGUCUUAUCAAAUACAAAUAUACGAAACAAGUAUUAAUAUCUAAGCAAGUAUAGUAGUUAAUAUCAUAGUCAAAACUGUUAAAAAAACUAGCUUAGUUAAAACAGAAAUAUAUUAUCAUACAUCCUCUCUGCCAACUCACCAUUUAAGUUGUAAGCCACGCAGAUUUAGGAACAUAUAGUUAUAUUUGUUACAUGUGCUCUUAAAUUCGUAACGUUUAUGCUAGGCAGUUUUUCAACUGAACUCUCUUUUAUUUACAUAAAUUAGGUACAUAGUUCUAAAACAGUCAUCACUAAUAAAAACUAUUUUGCAUUUUCUUACAAGUGUCAAAACAUUUAAGAUUCUGUAUUUCCUCAUUUUUGCUCACACAUAUCACCAUGUCCUCAUAUCUCUAUAUAACAACAGAAUUAAUGAACAUCUCCGAACAACCCAAAGAGAAUUCUAUCAUACCUAAACACACGAGCUAUAUCGAUAUGGAGACUGUAGUGGUGAUUGUGGGAGCUGGACCAGCUGGUUUAGCAACAUCUGUUUGUCUAAACCAAAACUCAAUCCCAAACGUGAUCCUCGAGAAAGAAUACAUAUAUGCAUCACUUGGGAAGAAAUGAGCUUACGAUCAUCUUAAAUUUCACUUAACUAAAAAAAUUUGCGAGCUUCCUUUCAUGAUGCACGGUCCCAAUUUUCCAAUCUUCAGGCCCAAAGAACUUUUCAUCAACUAGCUUUACACCUACAAAGUGACGUACAUGUCUAGCAUUUUACGGGCUCAAGAUAAACAUAUUAAUAUUUUACUACAAACGUUUUUAUGAAACUUUAAUUAAUAUACCAAUAAAAAUACAUAAAACAAUUUUAUAUGCAGUAGUUUUAGCGAAGAGAUAAAAUUAUAUUAGUAAGAAAAUUAUCAUAAAAUUAUAUAGGUGAUUGCGAACAUCUUCAUCAUUUAUAUAUGUUAACUGAAAUAUAUACAGUUUACAUGUCAAGUUAUAAGUGAUAAAGUAAUAUAAAAAUGUAAAAACAAAAUAUUAACCAGUAAAAUAUUUGCUAAAAUAUGGACAAAAGAAAAGAAAAUAUUAGUAAAAAUUCAUCAAAUGUCUAGCCAUACAUCCAUUUUCAUUUCUCUUCUCGUGCUACCUAACUCUCACACUUGUUUGUUUCUUUUAUUUAACAUUAAAGCAACUAAACUUUUUCGAUGGUUUCAAUUUUCAAACGGAUAAGUUGUAGAAGAAGAAUCUGUUUCGACUUUCGUAUAUCCGAACAUUAGGAAACGUUUUUCAUCACUACCAAUCUGAACUUGCCUGGGCAUACGAAAAAACCAUUUUUUGGAUACAUGCAAAGUAAAUAGAUUCUAGUAGUGCAUGGACACGUUCAUCUAACGUAAAUAGUAAAUCAAUAUGUGUCAUUUGUUUCUUAAACAAUAUGUGUAAUGACUUCAUAAAUGAUGCAGUUCAUUUUGAAUAUAUAUUUUAUAUCUUUCCCAAAAUAUUAACAGAACAGCGAUAAGACUAAAUAACACGUAUCACUCUAUGACUGAUCAUUUCAAUAUAAUGUCUGCUCUUUUUUUUUUUGAAACUUAUAAUGGUUCUUGUUUUUAAAAUAACUUAUAUAGAUAUAAGAAAUAAUCUUAAAGAAUUUUAAAUAUAAUUUUGGAAAAUGAACAAAUACAAAGAAUAUCAGUCUAUUUCUAUUGAAAAUUGAAAAAUGCCGCAAAGUAAAAAGCCUGUAUGUAAUUUCAUUUUGAAGAUGACUGUAGUUGUUUUACAAUAAAUAUGACACUAAUAUUGUCUUUUACUUCGAAUUUAGAUAGUCAAGUUAAUUUGUAACUAUUUUAAACAUAUGCCUUUAUUUUUAAGUAGUUCACUGUAAAUAUAAAAUAAUGGGUGUCAGUAAAAUUUUAAGAAAAUUUGGUCAAUUUUGUCUAAAAAAAUAUUUUUUAGAACUUUAGUAGUCAUCCACUUACAUACCUGAUUUGUAUUUCAAAAUUAAAUAAAGAAUCUCAAAAUAAUAAAUGUUUUCAGAUUCUGUAUUGACUAGUCUUAUAAAAUAAAAAUAUACGAAACAAGUAUUAAAAUCUAAGCAAGUAUAGUAGUUAAUAUCAUAGUCAAAACUGUUAAAAUAAAAUAACAUAGUCAAAACAGAAAUAUAUUAUCAUACAUCUUCUCUGCCAACUCACCAUUUAAGUUGUAAGCCACGCAGAUUAAGGAACAUAUGGUUAUAUUUGUUACCUUAUGCUCUUAAAUUCGUAACGUUUAUGCUAGGCUGUUUUUCAACUGAACUCUCUUUUAUUUACAGAAAUUAGGUACAUAGUUCCAAAACAGUCAGCACUAAUAAAAACCAUUUUCAUUUUCUUACAAGUGUCAAAAAUUUUAAGAUUCUGUAUUUCCCCGUUUUUGCUCACACAUAUCACCAUGUCCUCACAUCUCUAUAUAACAACAGAAUCAAUGAACAUCUCCGAACAACCCAAAGAGAAAAUCUAUUAUACCUAAACACACGAGAUAUAUAGAGAUGGAGGCUGUACUGGUGAUUGUGGGAGCUGGACCAGCUGGUUUAGCAACAUCUGUUUGUCUAAACCAACACUCAAUCCCAAACGUGAUCCUCGAGAAAGAAUACAUAUAUGCAUCACUUGGGAAGAAAUGAGGUUACGAUCAUCUCAAACUUCACUUAACUAAAAAAAUUUGCGAGCUUCCUUUCAUGAUGUACGGUCCCAAUUUUCCAAUCUUCAUGCCCAAAGAACUUUUCAUCAACUAGCUUUACACCUACAAAGUGACGUAGAUGUCUAGCAUUUUACGGGUUCAAGAUAAACAUAUUAAUAUUUUACUACAAACUUUUUUAUGAAAAUCUAAUUAAUAUACCAAUACAAAUACAUAAAACAAUUUUAUAUGCACUAGUUUUAGCAAAGAGAUAAAAUUAUAUUAGUAAGAAAAUUAUCAUAAAAUUAUAUAGGUGAUUGCGAACAUCUUCAUCAUUUAUAUAUGUUAACUGAAAUAUAUACAGUUUACAUGUCAAGUUAUAAGUGAUAAGGUAAUAUAAAAAUGUAAAAACAAAAUAUUAACCAAUAAACUAUUUGCUAGAAUAUGGACAAAAGAAAAGAAAAUAUUAGUAAAAAUUCAUCAAAUGUCCAGCCAUACAUCCAUUUUCAUUUCUCUUCUCGUGCGACCUAACUCUCACACUUGUUUGUUUCUUUUAUUUAACAUUAAAGCAACUAAACUUUUUCGAUGGUUUCAAUUUUCAAACGGAUAAGUUGUAGAAGAAGAAUCUGUUUCGACUUUCGUAUAUCCGAACAUUAGGUAACGUUUUUCAUCACUACCAAUUUGAACUUGCGUGGGCAUACGAAAAAAACAAGUUUUUGGAUACAUGCAAAGUAAAUAGAUUCCAUUAGUGCAUGGACACGUUCAUUUAACGUAUAUAGUAAAUCAAUAUGUGUCAUUUCUUUCUUAAACAAUAUGUGUAAUGACUUCAUAAAUGAUGCAGUUCAUUUUGAAUAUAUAUUUUAUAACUUUCCCAAAAUAUUAACAGAACAGCGAUAGGACUAAAUAACACGUAUCACUCUAUGACUGAUCAUUUCAAUAUAAUGUCUGCUCUUUUUUUUUGAAACUUAUAAUGGAUCUUGUUUUUAAAAUAACUUAUAUAGAUAGAAGAAAUAAUCUUAAAGAAUUUUAAAUAUAAUUUUGGAAAAUAACCAAAAACAAAAAAUAUCAGUCUAUUUCUAUUGAAAAUUAAAAAAUGCCGCAAAUUAAAAAGCCUGUAUGUAAUUUCAUUUUAAAGAUGACCGGAGUUGAUUUACCAUAAAUAUGACACUAAUAUUGUCUUUUACUUCGAAUUUAGAUAGUCAAGUUAAUUUGUAACUAUUUUAAACACAUGCCUUUAUUUUUAAGUAGUUCACUGUAAAUAUAAAAUAAUGGGUGUCAAAAAAAUUUUAAAAACAUUUGGUCAAUUUUGUUAAAAAAAUUAUAUUUUGGAACUUUAGUAGUCAUCCACUUACAUACUAGAUUUGUAUUUCAAAAUUAAAUAAAGAAUCUCAAAAUAAUAAAUGUUUCAGAUUCUGUAUUGGCUAGUCUUAUCAAAUACAAAUAUACGAAACAAGUAUUAAUAUCUAAGCAAGUAUAGUAGUUAAUAUCAUAGUCAAAACUGUUAAAAAAACUAGCUUAGUUAAAACAGAAAUAUAUUAUCAUACAUCCUCUCUGCCAACUCACCAUUUAAGUUGUAAGCCACGCAGAUUUAGGAACAUAUAGUUAUAUUUGUUACAUGUGCUCUUAAAUUCGUAACGUUUAUGCUAGGCAGUUUUUCAACUGAACUCUCUUUUAUUUACAUAAAUUAGGUACAUAGUUCUAAAACAGUCAUCACUAAUAAAAACUAUUUUGCAUUUUCUUACAAGUGUCAAAACAUUUAAGAUUCUGUAUUUCCUCAUUUUUGCUCACACAUAUCACCAUGUCCUCAUAUCUCUAUAUAACAACAGAAUUAAUGAACAUCUCCGAACAACCCAAAGAGAAUUCUAUCAUACCUAAACACACGAGCUAUAUCGAUAUGGAGACUGUAGUGGUGAUUGUGGGAGCUGGACCAGCUGGUUUAGCAACAUCUGUUUGUCUAAACCAAAACUCAAUCCCAAACGUGAUCCUCGAGAAAGAAUACAUAUAUGCAUCACUUGGGAAGAAAUGAGCUUACGAUCAUCUUAAAUUUCACUUAACUAAAAAAAUUUGCGAGCUUCCUUUCAUGAUGCACGGUCCCAAUUUUCCAAUCUUCAGGCCCAAAGAACUUUUCAUCAACUAGCUUUACACCUACAAAGUGACGUACAUGUCUAGCAUUUUACGGGCUCAAGAUAAACAUAUUAAUAUUUUAC